AAAGAUUAAGCCAUGCAUGUCUAAGUAUAAGCAAUUAUACCGUGAAACUGCGAAUGGCUCAUUAAAUCAGUUAUCGUUUAUUUGAUAAUACCUUACUACUUGGAUAACCGUGGUAAUUCUAGAGCUAAUACAUGCUGAAAAUCCCGACUUCGGAAGGGAUGUGUUUAUUAGAUAAAAAACCAAUGCCCUUCGGGGCUUUUUGGUGAUUCAUGAUAACUUUACGGAUCGCAUAGCCUUGCGCUGGCGACGGUUCAUUCAAAUUUCUGCCCUAUCAACUUU
rnacentral:rRNA from 1 species